GGUCUUUACAGGCCUAUUUCCGUUACCUGCGACUGUGACUGCGAAUGCGGCCGCAACCGCGAUUUGAAACAAUAAGAGUCCAUACUUUAUUAUGUGAGCGAAAUCUACAAAAUCACUGGAAAACCUUCCCCAGUCGAAGCAUUGUUUUUUCCUUCUUGAGAUAAUUAGGCCAAGUUAUUGAAGAAUAUAAAUGAUGUACCAAAAUAAAGAAGAUCAUGUAUUAUUUGGAAGCUUUAAAUGGAAAUUGCCUACUACAAAAAGGAAAAAUAUGAAGUCAAACAAGGAAGUUCGAAGAACAACAUUGUCCGUCUAGACAAGGAAAAAAGGCUUCUUACUUUAGCACAUGCAUAUCUGAUCUGAAUGAUUAAGCCUUUAAAAAUUGACCACAUAUUCCUAAAAAGACCUUUUUUGUUUUAUGUAUAUCCUCUU
rnacentral:misc_RNA from 1 species